rnacentral:lncRNA from 1 species
GAAAAGUGGUACCAAAACCCUUGAAAACCUGCACUUGCAUCAUCAUCAUCAUCAUCAUCAACAACAACAAAGUUUCGGAACCUAUGGUGCCACUGCCAUGGAACUGGACUUCGCUUCCUACGGUGAUCACAUGGCGGGUGGUGGGGUACCUUAUCAUAACGCUAAUCAAAGCUUCAACGGUGGAGGAGGUGUGUCAUUGACAUUAGGGUUGCAACAACAUGGUGGGAGUGGCGUGAGCUUAGCUUUCUCGCCU